rnacentral:misc_RNA from 1 species
GUGAAUCAUCGAAUUUUUGAACGCAAAUUGCGCCUUUUUCGGAAGGCAUGUCUGUUUGAGGGCACCAUUUAACAAAUAAUGUGCAUUUCUUGUGCACCCUUUGCUGAGCCUUCCAAAUUUAUGUAUUAUUUUUGUUGGCGCAUAAUAAACAGCGCGAUGCUUUGUUUCAUUUCAGGUGUAGUAAAAUUUUUUCUUGCUUGGGUUGUGAAAAGCUUGAUCGCCCAAUGGGUGUGGCAUUUUAAGUUAAUCC